CCUCCACAGAUCUCCAGUAUCAGCUAAUGAUACUGGUAAUGGCUCAAAAGGGCCACCACUUACGGGCUAUUCAUGCCCGUGCCAUCUUUUGGGUGGCUUAGUCUUUAUCAAUCAUCAAUCUCUACCUCCCCCCAUUCUAUCCAAACCCUUUGAACAUCAAAGCGAAGCCAGUCCUUAUCUGCCACCAGCACAAACCACUCUCGCUUGUUCACCUGGCAUUUCCCCUGCGCGAGCGCCGACACGCAGUGUUCGCUCAUCAUUUUAUACCAGCUAUAACUUGCUCGAAGCGGUUAUAUAAACCAAGGUCACGAGGAACUAAAGAACGCAAUACGGUAAGAGACAGCUGAGAAAAUUUCUUCAGGGGAGGAGGAGGCAGUAGAGGAUGUCCCUUCCGAUAUUCUGUAUCAACAAAUAAAAGUUGAUGCUUCGUGAUUGUGUGACGAGACAGUGUGGGUAACCGGCUUCCUUCACAUUUCGUAGGCCACCUCCGUCUGCAGUACUGAUGGGAGCGGUUUCCUGCAGAGGACCAAAAGAGCGCCACUCCCAGACCCGAGGAAAUGAUCCACACCACCUGCUCAUCGGGUCAAUCUUCGACACACACCCUUAGCCUGUUAAACCCAGGCGGGGACCGGAGAAGACCACUCCUGUUAGCACCCCGAGGGCUCUCCCUUCCCUUAGCUCAUGGUAAGCCUCACCCACGCGUUCUCCCCUGGAACACAAGCCACCAAUCUGUUUACAACCAGGUUCUCAAUUACUGUUGGGUGAACUCGGGUGAACAGUCAA